GAACAAUAGUCAGACUGAAUGUUGAACAUCAGCUGCUUCCUCCUGCUGAUUUAAACCUUGGUGGACAGAUGGAACAUUGGCUGUGGAUUAUUCUGGCUGCUCUUUUCUCUGAGUGUAAAGGAGACUCAGUGAAGCAGACAGAAGGAGAAGUUGUUGCUGCUGCAGGAGAAUCACUGACUCUGAGAUGUACCUUUAAACCCAGUGGUGGAAGUGAUGCCUUGUUCUGGUAUAAACAAGAAGAAAACAGUUUCCCAAAGUACAUGCUGAAAGAAUAUGUGAAAUUACCAGACAAUGCUCCAGAGUUCAGCAAAGACAGAUUCGAUGCGAAGGUCAACAACUCAGCGUUUGACCUGAAGAUCCAGGAUCUCCAUCCGUCAGACUCUGCUGUGUACUACUGCGCUCUGCAGCCCACAGUGACAGGAAACACCAGGACCCUGUACAAAAACCUGCAGUUCUCCACAACAGCCACUAGAGGAUCUCAUAAACCAGGGUCGAGGUCCAUAAGGCAUAGCUUCUAAAACAAAUUGUAUAAC